rnacentral:lncRNA from 1 species
GGAGACCAGGACACGGUGACUGCUUUCCUGCCGGGUGGCAUAGGGGAGCUUAACAAGAACUACUAUCCCAAUUUCCUGAUGGUGGAGAAGCAUACAACCAUCAGUGAGAUCAAAGACACUUUCCAGCAGUUUCUGAACGGGACAACAUUGGCAUCAUCCUCAUCAACCUGUACAUUACAGAGAUGGUGUGGCACGCCUUGGAUACACACCAGUGCCCCAUUCCAGUCAUCCUGGAGAUCCCCUCCGAGGAGCACCCGUAUGACACUGUGCCAAGGAAUCCAUCCUGGGCAGAGCCAGGGACAUGUUCUCUGCCGAAGACCUGCGCUAG